rnacentral:lncRNA from 1 species
AGGUGACACAGGUGCUAUUGGGGUGACCGUAUUCUCCAAGCACUGUGUGAGGGCUUGGGCUUGUACACUGGGCUCGCCCUGGCUUCAUGGAGCAGUCUAGAGAGGGUAACAUCUAGCAAAUUCCUUGUCUGAGGUGGAUGUUUCCCGUGUGCUUCUAAAAAUAGGCAUUAUCAUUUUAGAUUUCAGCUGGUAAUAAACUGUAUACAAUGGAAAUGAAUGAGGAUUCCCAAAGUACUCACAAUGUCAAAAAAGCUGUAAAUCUGAUGAUAGCAUAGUAUUCGGUAUUAUCCUUUCUUGGGCUGAUUGAAAGGUUAGAACAUGUUCUUAUCUCUUGUUUUUAGUGUUUUCAUGAGCACGACUUCAUUCUGGAAGCUUGCGGAAAAUGUUUAGUUUUGAUUAGAGCUAAACCAUUAAACACACACACAGACACACACACACACACACAUGUGCAGGGCAGCCUCUACCCACCCCCAUACUUUUUACUAACAGGAAAAAUAAAAAUCAUUGUGAUAAUGAUAAGAUGUAUCUGCCUGCAGCAAGGGAUAGCUUAUCCAGUGUCUGCCUGGUUCUCUUUCAGUUUAAAUCCUCAACCAUCUGUGUGUAUCAGCAAAACAAAUGUCCUGUGCAUUUCAUGUUCUAACUGGAUGAUGUUCUAACAGGCCUAAUGAAGGAUGCUCGGGGCUUGAAAGGGCCGGGGCGCUGCUUGUCCUGCCGCCUGCCGGGCCUUUUGUGCUGUAUAGAGUUGUCUCUCUUGUCGGAGCCAGGAACCAGACAGCUGGAAAACAGGCUUCAAUUCAGCCAUCAAACUGAAUAUUGCGUGAAGAGCAGGGAAGGAAGAGUGCUUCUGAAAAGAAAAGUAGAACAAGAGGAAAAGCAUGACGUGGUGGGCUUGGGGAUUCCUUUAAAGAGUGACUAUACUGAGGGAUGAAUGGUCAGUAAAGCACCUCUCUUGCUGGGUAUGGCUCAGUCUUAAGUCUUGUGUUCUGGUCCAUUUACUUCCUGCUGCUCCUGAAGAGUCAUCCCCCUUAAGAACCUGCUCUAGUGGCCGAAGUGAAUGAAUGCUGGUGUAGUCCCUCCCAGCAGCACAGGCAUGUGUACCCAGGCAUGCUCACACAUGCUCACACACAUAGACAUACACAUCACAUACACACACAUACACACAGUGUUACUGAUUAUUGUCAGCAUUUCAAGAAAAAAAAAUGAGUUCUCAUCUUCCCACUGUGCAGUGGUA